UACGUAGGUGGCAAGCGUUGUCCGGAAUUAUUGGGCGUAAAGCGCGCGCAGGCGGCCUUUUAAGUCUGAUGUGAAAGCCCACGGCUCAACCGUGGAAGGUCAUUGGAAACUGAAAGGCUUGAGUACAGAAGAGGAAAGCGGAAUUCCACGUGUAGCGGUGAAAUGCGUAGAGAUGUGGAGGAACACCAGUGGCUAAGGCGGCUUUCUGGUCUGUAACUGACGCUGAGGCGCGAAAGCGUGGGGAGCAAACAGG
rnacentral:rRNA from 1 species